rnacentral:ncRNA from 1 species
GCUCACCAGGAUAAAAACACGGUCCGGUUGGUAGUCCGGACGCACGCCGCAUGGCGUGCCAGUAACCUUCCCCCCUUGGGUCGUCCGUUCCUGGGCAUUGUACA